UUCAAGUAAUCCAGGAUAGGCUGUUUUCUCUUUAGCCUGUUCUCCAUUACUUGGUUC
rnacentral:pre_miRNA from 1 species